rnacentral:lncRNA from 1 species
CUGAUUUUGGACAUCUGAUCUAGGCAGUAGGAAACAAAAGAGAAAGGAAGCUGAAGCCUCUUCAUUAUUUAGAUGGAAAAAAUAUGACUCUGGGUUAUAACGGAACAAUCCUUCAUGGCAAGCCUCCAUGGGAGCCCACACGCAAGAUAAAUAUCAGCAAAUGGCAUGCAGGAAAUGGAGUUUGUUAGAUAAAUUGUCUGUAGGUGAGGCUUCCGUGAUAGAGCAUUCCCUUUUCUCCGCUCACGGAAGACACUUUCAUUUGUAGAGCCGCUCUUCAGCGCUGAUGCCCACCAUUAAAGUUACAGGAGCAGCAACGACAAGAAAGCACUGGUAGUAAUUUGAAGUGGCAACUCAGAGUGUGGAAUCCAGAUCAAGAGAAUGAUGAGUCUGUGUGCUGUAUUGUUUAAACUUUAAGAGAGACAUUAACCAACUGGAUCUCACCUGAGAAGUGAUCUGAUUGGAAGACAGAAUUUUAAACCAUUUCUUGUAACAGCUGAAGAAACAAGAACUACUACCCUAAUAAGGAAAAGACUUAAUAUAUGAUUGAUUUUCUCAAAUAUUUCAAAGACUUUUUUUAGAAAGAAUCAUUUUAUUCUCUACUGAUCAAGAAAAAGAAGUCAUAUUCAGUCUAUCAGAUCCAUGAAGAAGUUCAUACUUAGUUUUUUCUUUGUCUUUAUUUAACUCAAAUUCAGUGUGGAUAUUUAUGAUAAUCUGUUUCCUUUAUAGAUGAUCUGUUUGUUGCUCAAGUUGACAAAUACUAUAACUAAGUCAUCCUGCUUUCUGCUUGCAGGACAGGCAUAAACUGUGGGAUAUGACUGAUCCACAGUACUACAUGUGUAGGAAAGUUGUGCAAAAAAGCUGGAAAGGUCGGUGGGGCUAAGAGGUCAGAGUGCCUGAAAUGUGGAUCUUUCAGGCUGAAUUUUAUUUUGUAGACAAUGCAAACAACUAAGGAGAAACAUGAUGCACAUUGCAAUAGUCAGAAGCUGGAGG